rnacentral:pre_miRNA from 1 species
AAAAAGAUAAACCCUGUUUUUUUCUAACAUUUGACCGUCCGUUUUAUUUAAAAAAUAUAUAAAAAAAAUUAAAAAAACAAGUCACGCAUAAAGUAUUAAUCAUGUUUUAUCAUCUAACAACAAUAAAAGUACUAAUUGUAAAAAAAAAAUCAUAUAAGACGGACAUUCAAACGUUGGACAUGAAAAUCAGGG